CAACCUACCUAUCAGAGGGGAAUAACCCGGCGAAAGUCGGACUAAUACCGCAUAAAACAGGGGCACCGCAUGGUGAUAUUUGUUAAAGAAAUUCGCUGAUAGAUGGGCAUGCGUUCCGUUAGGUAGUUGGUGAGGUAACGGCUCACCAAGCCGACGAUGGAUAGGGGAACUGAGAGGUUGGUCCCCCACACUGGUACUGAGACACGGACCAGACUCCUACGGGAGGCAGCAGUGAGGAAUAUUGGUCAAUGGGCGAGAGCCUGAACCAGCCAAGUCGCGUGAAGGAAGAAGGAUCUAUGGUUCGUAAACUUCUUUUGCAGGGGAAUAAAGUGCAGGACGUGUCCUGUUUUGUAUGUACCCUGAGAAUAAGGAUCGGCUAACUCCGUGCCAGCAGCCGCGGUAAUACGGAGGAUCCGAGCGUUAUCCGGAUUUAUUGGGUUUAAAGGGUGCGUAGGUGGUUUGAUAAGUCAGCGGUGAAAGUUUGCAGCUUAACUGUAAAAAUGCCGUUGAAACUGUCGGACUUGAGUGUAAAUGAGGUAGGCGGAAUGCGUGGUGUAGCGGUGAAAUGCAUAGAUAUCACGAAGAACUCCGAUUG
rnacentral:rRNA from 1 species